AUGUUGUGAUGUGGGCACUUGAGAAGCAGAGUAUUGAAGUGGUCCCACGCUUCAAAGAAAAGAUCUCCAUUUAUUUGUUGGAAUGAUUGAAUCUCUCUUCUAAGCUG